rnacentral:tRNA from 1 species
GGAGUUGUGGCUCAGUGGUAGAGCGCAUGUCUCACAUGUGUGAGUCACAGGGUUCAAGUCUCAGCACUUCA